GUUGAAGAACGUAGCGAAAUGCGAUAAGUAAUGUGAAUUGCAGAAUUCAGUGAAUCAUCGAAUCUUUGAACGCACCUUGCGCCCUUUGGCCAUUCCGAAGGGCAUGCCUGUUUGAGUAUCAUGAACACCUCAACUCUUCAUGGUUUUCCAUGAUGAGCUUGGACUUUGGGGGUCUUGCUGGCCUGUGGGUCGGCUCCUCUCAAAUGAAUCAGCUUGCCGGUUUUUGGUGGGCAUCACAGGUGUGAUAACUAUCUACGCUUGUGGUUUUCCACCAGGGUAACCUUCAGCAGUGGAGGUUCACUGGAGCUUACAAAUGUCUCUCCUCUGUAAGGACAGCCCUUUGAAUGUUUGAUCUCAAAUCAGGUAGGACUACCCGCUGAACUUAAGCAUAUCAAUAAGCGGAGGA
rnacentral:misc_RNA from 1 species